CUUGCCUUAACAGGAAGCCAGUGUAGGGAGGCUAGCACUGGAGUAAUAUGAUCAAAUUUUUUGGUUCUAGUCAGGAUUCUAGCAGCCGUAUUUAGCACUAACUGAAGUUUGUUUAGUGCUUUAUCCGGGUAGCCAGAAAGUAGAGCAUUGCAGUAGUCCAGCCUAGAAGUAACAAAAGCAUGGAUUAAUUUUUCUGCGUCAUUUUUGGACAGAAAGUUUCUGAUUUUUGCAAUGUUACGUAGAUGGAAAAAAGCUGUCUUUGAAACAGUCUUGAUAUGUUCUUCAAAAGAGAGAUCAGGGUCCAGAGUAACGACGAGGUCCUUCACAGUUUUAUUUGAGACGACUGUACAACCAUCCAGAUUAAUUGUCAGAUUCAACAGAAGAUCUCUUUGUUUCUUGGGACCUAGAACAAGCAUCUCUGUUUUGUCCGAGUUUAAAAGUAGAAAGUUUGUAGCCAUCCACUUCUUUAUGUCUGAAACACAGGCUUCUAGCGAGGGCAAUUUUGGGGCUUCACCAUGUUUCAUUGAAAUGUACAGCUGUGUGUCAUCCGCAUAGCAGUGAAAUUUAACAUUAUGUUUUCGAAUGACAUCCCCAAGAGGUAAAAUAUAUAGUGAAAACAAUAGUGGUCCUAAAACGGAACCUUGAGGAACACCGAAAUUUACAAUUGAUUUGUCAGAGGACAAACCAUUCACAGAGACAAACUGAUAUCUUUCCGACAGAUAAGAUCUAAACCAGGCCAGAACUUGUCCGUGUAGACCAAUUUGGGUUUCCAAUCUCUCCAAGCUUGAAACCCUAGGCCUAUAUGUAUUGUCUAUAUUUUGUUGAACCCGGGGUUGAAUUGAAACAAUAGCUGUUGAUGAGUUUUUAAAUGCUAUAUAUGCCUAACUAGUAUUAAUUGAUGAUAUACUGUAUGAUUUAUAAAGUAUGGUUACAUUUAAUUUGAUCUGUUAAACCUACCCAUUGGAAUGACUUCGAUAGCAACAGUGAAUAUAUUUUGUUAUUAAGAGGUCUCAAUAAUCAUUCUCACGAUAGCACAUUGGUAGUAGUCAGUGACAAAUAUCAAAGCUGGGCUUGGUUAAAACCCUGCAUGGGAGACCAAAUGAAUAGCUGUACUGUAGAUGGAGCAACUCUCCAGUAGGAGGUGCUGCCCAGCCUAUAAUUUUUUUUUUUAAUGGUGGAUAUAACGUCGAAGAUCUGAUGUUGUGUUAAAGGUACAUGUUCGACAUUUUAUACAAGGUUUCUAUGUUGAAAAUGGCUUACAAUGAUGGCAUAAUCCUGUGGUUGGAAUUUCAGCCUCUGAACAACAGUUUGAUGACUUUGACUUUUACAAAUCCAAUGUUAUUUCCAUGUAGAGUCCACAUCACAAUACGUUGACAAAUUACAUUGAAACAAUGUUGAUUCAACCAGUUUGUGCCCAGUGGGUAGGGUCCUAAUGCCUUAAAUGGCUCACAACCAUAAACUACUAACCAAGGACUAUUUUACUUAUUGUUUUGUAUCAAAUGUAACAGAUGCUGCAAUGAUUAAGAAGAUGUCACUAAUAUAUUGUAAUUGUCAUACAUUGAUUAUGUAUGCUUUCGUAACGCAAUUUUCUUCUCAGGUUAUUUGUGGAAAUAACCACAAAUUAUUAAUAAUCACACAUUUAUUCUCAGUAUUACAUUAACAACUUGUCAUAAUUUUCUGGUUACAUGGUUUAUAUUUGCUAGUCGGUUAAUAUAUAUAUAUUUGGUAGGAGGGAGUCUAUUAGUGGAUUUAUCCAUGUAUGAGUUAUUGUGUCCAUACACUCUGGUGAUUUCAGGAAAACUGUGUAAUAACAAAAUACUAACCAGAGAUAAAUGACCUGCUAAUAUAAAUGACAAUCAAAUAAUACUACAUAUUUCUUCUUAUUUUCUUUAAAGUUACAUUAGCUAAAUAACUACAUCAUUAGUAUCAGAUUGGAGUUCCCCCACGUUCAUUAGAUAUUGUAAUAUUUGAAUGGGAAAGUCCUUCUGUGAAACAUCCGUCAAACAGACCUUCUGUAUGUAUGCCUCAAAAUUCCUUUACAUGAUUAAGUCACUAGCCAUAACAAAAUGUAACAUCAUAUUGGAAUUCCAAUCAAACUAAAUGUGCCCUUUGACAUGAAGGUUGAAAUGCAUUGCGGAGUAAUAACAAUCUUUAACUGUACAAUGUUAAUGACAAUCCUAGCAGUCUCUGCUGUGUACAUUGAGUCACUAUCACUUCAUCUGUCACAGUCACUCUCAUGAAGACUGGUGCUGUUCAUUUAGGUUGAAGAGAUGCUUAAAGAAAGUUGUAGAAUGCUUAAAGUAUGUGCUGUUUUACCCUUUUACUAUGUGCAAUGUCAAUUUUGAAGAAAAAAAGUUUCUAGGCAGGUUUGUACUCAUGUAAAAGAGAUAUAGUUGUAUACUAUACUACUAUGUGAAUGAAAUGGAAAUAUUUUUGUAUUAAAAUAUCUUUAACAUUCCUUCAACCAUAAAUAUAAGCAGUAUCUUUACUGAGGUACAGCUUGUAUCUGCUAAAUACUUUGUUAGAAUGACUAAUCCACACUAAAGACUCAGGUCAACUGGUCUGAGAAUGAUGCUGGCAUGAGGGAAAAGGGAGCCAUUCUAUUUUUCAGUAGAACUUGUGUUGGCCUAUUGCUGGGGUCAGCCCAACGUAAACAUUGUUUUAAGUGAUAUGAGCAACACAUUGUUUCAACAUCAUUACUGUGUCAGUUUGUUAUUACUCUAAAGACACAACAUUGACUCUAUUCAAGACCUACAUGCAGAUUUGUUUAGACAACUGUCCUAUUAAUGCUGCAUCAUUUUAAAAUACUGUUUGUUGAUUGUCAGCAAAACGACUCCCUAGGUUGUCCUCCACUCAACCUUAUCAUAAAAACUGUUGUUGGUUCAGUGUGCUCAAUGUCCAAUCAUAAGGUAGACUGCCUUUUGAAGCUGGUUGAAGGAACAUGUAGUGUAUGUUUAAAUAUCAAGCUCAUAGAAUAACAGUAAACCAUGUUCUCACAAGUGUCCAGUGUACUCUCCAGCUAACCAUCGUAUGUAAAGAAUUUGCAUUAGUUGACCCCAUUUGAAACCAGAGGCAGUUAUUCAUUUCCAUUAACCCAGUGCCACAGAUGAUUUCCUACAUUUAAGGUUAUGCUGAGAGCCAUUGUGUGUUUGCUGUGUAUUGCUUCAGUUUAUACAAAUGUUCAUGUUUAUUGGUAUGUGUGUUUGUUCAUUGUGAUUGCUGCGUUAGAUCAAAUGGUACUGGCUGUUUCUAUGAUUCUGUUUAAUCCGUCUCCCCCAGCAGUAGAUUAUGCACUUUUUGUUUCACCGUUUCAGACUAUAUUUUUAUGUUCAUGAAUUCUUCAUCAAGUGUCAUUCUUUUUUUAAAGGCAUCAUGUUACUUUGACUUUUGCAUUUGUGACCUUUAGAGUGGACUGUGCAUCCUUGCAGUAUAUGGGGUGGAGGGUCAAUCAAUGCAUACUGUAAAACAUUUGCCAGGAAAAAGUAAGACAAACAAAAACCGAACCUGGUACAUAUUAGCCAUUGCAUUGCAGAAAACGAAUUGAAAAUAUUGUAUUAUAGAAUGUACAAAACAUGUUGAGAUUAUAUAGUUGUUUAUUUUAUGAGAUGUCAAAUAGAUUGAAUAUAUGUUACAUGAUUUGAAAGUAAAACAAACAGAAGUAUUUUGUAACAGAUUAUUGAAGUGUCUUAUUUGGGGAGGUGAGGUUAUUAUUUUCUUCAGUUCAGCAAGUUGGUGUUAUGGUGUUUCACAGUCUAUUGUAUGGCUUGUUUUUUUCUGUCUGUAUAUACCAUCAAAAAUAAGCUUUAACAUAUUGUUAAUAUUGUUUAAAAAUAAACAAAUAAAAAGUUUACAUUCUGAAACAGCUUGGAUAUUAAUUAUGUGAUAGUGAUAUUGAAUUAUUUAUAAAUCUAUUAAUCUUGAUAAUGUGGUAUCUUUAAAAAUAAAUAUAAAAAAAAACAUGCAUUUUGUGCACUUUAUUCUGCGUGUUUUCAUUCAUGUAUAACUGAAGUUUAUUCUCUCUGAUGUAACUCUGAAAGGAAUCCAGUCCUGUUAAAAUACCCUAUAUAUACAAAAGUAUGUGGACACAACUUCAAAUUAAAGGAUUUGGUUAUUUCAGCCACAACCGUUACUGACAGGUUACUGACAGGUGUAUAAAAUCGAGCACACGGCCAUGCAAUCUCCACAGACAAACAUUGUCAGUAGAAUGGCCUUAUUGAAGAACUCAGUGACUUUCAACGUGGCACUGUCAUAGAAUGCCACCUUUACAACAAGUCAGUUCGUCAGAUAUCUACCCUGCUAGAGCUGCCUCGUGAACUGUAAGUGCUGUUAUUGUGAAGUGGAAACGUCUAGGAGCAACAACGGCCCAGUCACAAAGUGGUAGGCCGCACAAGCUCAAAGAACGGGACCGCCAAGUGCUGAAGCGCAUAAAAAUCGUCUGCCAUCGGUUGCAACACCAAACUGUCUCUGGAAGCAACAUCAGCACAAGAACUGUUCAUCAGGAGCUUCAUGAAAUGGGUUUCCAUGGCCAAGCAGCCACACACAAGCCUAAGAUCACCAUACACAAUGCCAAGCGUCGGCUGGAGUGGUGUAUUGCUCGCCCGCCAUUAAACUCUCUGGAGUGAUGAAUCACCCUUCACCAUCUGGCAGUCCAACAGGCAAAUCUGGAUUUGGCGGAUGCCAGGAGAAUUCUACCUGCCCGAAUACAUAGUACCAACUGUAAAGUUUGGUGGAUGAGGAAUAAUGGUCUGGGGCUGUUUUCAUGGUUUGGGCUAGGCACCUUAGUUCCAGUGAAGGGAAAUCUUAACACUACUGCAAACAGCGACAUUCUACACGAUUCUGUGCUUUCAACUUUGUGGCAACAGUUUGGGGAAAGCCCUUUCCUGUUUCAGCAUGACAAUGCCCAAUGGCACAAAGUGAGGUCCAUAUAGAAAUGGUUUGUCAAGAUUGCUGUGGAAGAACUUGACUGGCCUGCACAGAGCCCUGACCUCAACUCCAUCGAACACCUUUGGGAUUAAUUGGAACGUUGACUGCGAGCCAGGCCUAAUCACCCAACCCCAAUAAUGCUCUUGUGGCUGAAUGGAAGCAAGUCCCUGCAGCAAUGUUCCAACAUCUAGUGAAAUGCCUUCCCAGAAGAGUGGAGGCUGUUGUAGCAGCAAAGGGGUACCAACUCCAUAUUAAUGCCCAUGAUUUUGAAAUGAGAUGUUCGACGGGCAGGUGUCACAUACUUUUGGUCCUGUAACGUUAGUGUAUGUAUGUAGUAGGCUACGUUGUCAGUGCGGCGUCGCUGAUGUGUGGAAUGACAGCUUCCUAUAUUCAAAUCCACUGGCGCCGAAGCAAAAGCUGAACUUUGAUAAAUUCGGCCUACUACCAGAAAGUAUACUGUAGCUACACUUUUCCAACCAACUUGUCGUGAUUUUCAUAAGUCAAAAAGUAGCCAACGUUAGCUAGCUAGCUAAUCAUAAACCGUAAGAACGGAUAUCAUAUCAGUAACAUUAGCAUGCUAGCUAUCUGGCUGGCUAGCAGCUGAGUUAGUUACUACAGUCACGUUUUUCUGCAAGAUUUGAUUUGGCAAGACAUAUACAGCUAGCACUGGGUUGAUGGUUAACGGUAACUCUUGUUUGCGUGGUCAGCUGCUGUACAGUAGUCAGCAAAUGGCUGUUUAAACUGUGUUUACAUAGCUACCUAGGUACUUUUUUUAGCAGCUAACGUUAGCUAACUUGUUGUAAACAAACCCAUUUCGCCCAGCGCACGGUCUGUUAUGCACAUUAAUGAACCAUACCUGAAGAAGUUGAAAAAACAUCGAAUCUGACAUAUUUCUUACUCUACUUUGGGACAGUUCUUUACAGCAAAAACUCAUACACUUCAAAUUGACAAAACUGAUGCUGUUAUUUGACUUCAGAGAUAUUUGACACAACAAAAACCUUACAGCUAAGACACGACAGUGAGUGAGUCUGGCAAGCCACGUGCAUACCGUAGUUUAAAUGAUCUGGUCCACAAAAACCUUCUUCGCAGUGGAAUUUAUAAUAACAUUACCCAGUGCUCAUUUGUUUACAAUAAGAAAUUAUUUGGUCAGGGUUGUGUUUACACUGAGAAGAUUGAACAUGGUUCACUUAAGAAGUCUAAUGUUUUGCGCAAGAUUAAGGACUUGGAUUCCCUCCCCAUGGUUACCAAGGAUGGAUUUAGAAACAUUGUGGCAUUGCAAAGUGAUGCACCCCUGCAGAUGGGCCACAAACAUUACCUGUCUCUUUCAGGAAUAAUGAGGGUCCUGAAGGCAGAGUAUAGGUUCUGGAUGGUAAAAUUAGAAUUUCAGUUGCUAACUAUUGUGAGAAUUACAAUGGUGAUUACCUGAACCAGACUUACUUCGAGGUCGCAGAUCAACGUGUAGAAUGAGCUGUGUCCAGAGUGGUACCAGAGACUGAAUGUUGGAACUGUGCUCUACCUCCAAAACUACACCCUCAAGCAGAGUAAUCCAAACAGGUCUCGACCUGACAUAGACAACCACAGAAUGAAGAGCUUUCACUCAGUAGCAUUAUGCUGAAGAAGACUGUUGUUGGUGGCCAUUAUUUCUUCCCUCACACCCCUCAGAUAUUCACACAGUCAGUGGCAGAUGGCUCAGCUCAAGUUCUUCUGGUUGCUGCAAAUUACCUAAAGAGGGAGAUGGAUGGUCUGCAUUAUUGUCCACACAAGCAGCUGGCAAUCCAAGGUCAGAUCAUUGCUGUGCAAUAUGUGGCAUGGCCAGAGGAGGCACUGUCAGACCAGGUAGGCUUUAUUGCUUGCUUGCUUUACAGUGGGUUAUACAAUGAACUUAAGGAGGAUCUUUUGGUCAGCUGUCCUGCCAAAAUCAAAAUUUUAACAGUCUUGAUGAAAAUAACCCAUUAUGUGACAUUUUAUCAGGUAACAAUAAUGUAAAUGCCUGUGCCAAAGCCUGCCACCUUAUCCUCCAACGGAUACUUCAUUUUUAUAAGGGCCCAAUUGUCCUUUUAUCCGCUGUACUUUAUGCAUAAAUGUGUAUAGAAUAUAUAUUACGCCUGUACCAUGUUUGCCUAUGAUUGUUUUUAGUGUUUCAAAACUCAAUUUGAGUGGUCCACAAUGUGGUUUAAAAAAGAAAAUCUGUAUUAUAGUAUCAUAGUGGAGUGACACGUCAAUACAUUUUUCUAACUCUAGAUACAUUGAGUACACAAAACAUUAAGAACACAUGCUCUGUCCAUGACAGACUGACCAGUUCAAUGCAAUGAUCCCUCAUUGAUGUCACUUGUUAAAUCCACUUCAAUCAAUGUAUAUGAAGCGGAGGUUAAAACAUGAUUUUUAAGCUUUGAGACAUUUUAAUUUAACCCUUAUUUUACCAGGUAAGUUGACUGAGAACACAUUCUCAUUUACAGCAAUGACCUGGAGUAUAGUUACAGAGGAGAUAAAUGAGCCAAUUGGAAUGAAGGCCAGAUUGGGAAUUUAGCCAGGAUACCAGGGUUAACGCCCCUACUCUUACAAUAAAUGCCAUGGGAUCUUUAGUGACCACAGAGAGUCAGGACACCCAUUUAACGUCCCAUCUGAAAGACGACAUCCUACUCAGGACAAUGUUCCUAAUCACUGCCCUAGGGCAUUGGGAUAUUUGUUGUUUGUUUUUUUGACCAAAGGAAACAGUGCCUCCUACUGGCCCUCUAACACCACUUCCAGCAGCAUCUGGCAAGCCAGCAGUAUGCUGCAGGGUGGUGUGCUGCAGGGUGGUGUGCUGCAGGGUGGUGUGCUGCAGGGUGGUGUGCUGCAGGGUGGUGUGCUGCAGGGUGGUUUGCUGUGCAUGUGUGCCAUUCAGGGGGGUGAAUGGGCAAGACAAAAGAUUUAAGUGCCUUUGAACAGGGUAUGGUAGUAGGUGCCAGGCACACCGGUUUGUGUCAAGAACUGCAACACUGCUGGGUUUUUCACGCUCAACAGUUUCCCAUGUUUAUCAAGAAUGGUCCACUACUCAAUGGACUUCAAGCCAACUUAACACAACUGUGGGAAGCAUUGGAGUCAACAUGGGCCAGCAUCCCUGUGGAAUGGUUUUGACGCCUUAUAGCGGUGCGCAACUCAAUAUUAGGAAGGUGUUCCUAAUGUUUUCUAUACUCAGUGCAUAUAACACAUUUCAUGUUAUUUUAACACACUAAUUCUCUUUUUCUAAAGUCGAUGCAUUGUUUUUUUUUUACAAGAAAAGGAACAGGACAGGAUACAUUGAAAGACAAAAAAACAACAGUUGCCUGUACAUAACUUUAUAGGAAUGAUUUGGCAUUGGUAAGUCAAGUUUAGAAUACGGUUCAGUCUGUGGGUGAGCCUGUUGUGGCUGUACCUAAUCCACAAAGUGAUCAGAAAACUGUAGACGUAACUGAAACACAGGGAAACAGCACCAUCUGGUGUACAGAGCUCACUCAGCAGACGGGGGAAAAACAACCCAAGAAGAGGUGAGUUUCAAAACACAGGUGGGCUAUAAAACAUUACUAAACAUUUCAAAUUGUACUUGUAACUCCCCUUUACUACGGCAUUUGAAAUUGUAUUUGUAUAUUUUACAUUGUCAUGAUGACGUCACUUGCGUGUUUUAGAAUAAUUGUAUUUUGUUUUUUAGAGUGAUGAAGCAAUGCUACAUCACUCGUGCCAGGAUGCAAGAGAAAAGGUACUGAAUAAAUGUCUAUCCUCUGCCAUAAUCAGUUCUCUAUGCCCAUCAGGGACCCACCCAGUAGCUCAGGUUAUGAGAGCUUUGUCUGUUCACAGAGAAGCUGGCCGUGGCUUUACAGAAUAGGAGCUAGUGGAGCAGGAAGAGGAGAGUGAUUCUGAAUCAGAGGAAGAAGUUGGUCCUCUAGAAGGAAACCCAGACCAAACCAGAGCCAGUGAACAACAAAGUCCAUCAGAAUGACGGCGCUCCAAGAGAGAGUGGUUACCUACUGUGGAUGGAUCAUCGGGGAAAGCAGCUCGUGGCUGAAGCAGAGAUGAGAAGUGUCAGAAUAUUUGGGUCAAUGACGAAUAAGGUUUUCAAAAACAUUUUAAAAGGGAAAAAUAUUAAUUUCGAAACAGUUUUUAUGUUCCCUUGAGUGUUACUUACAAUUUGUAUGCACAUUCAGGAUUUGUCGCUUUUUAUGCAACUUCAAUUUACCACCUAAAAAAGUCAUCCUGUGUGACCAUUCAUUUUUUUAUAUAAAAACUGUUUUCUGACCAUUAUUUCUAGCAAAGAAGAGUAAAAUAUGAAUAUUAACAUGGUCUCAGUUAUUCAACAUCAAAGAAGUUAAAAAUUACAGUAUAAUUUUUACAUUUUUGUACUUUUCACUGGACGAUCCCACAUUUUGAAUGACUGUCAACUAAAACUUCUGUUAGAGAAAUUAAAUCCAUAUACAAUUUUACAAAAAUGCAUUUUUCUCUUAUAGACGAGAUUCUUUCUGCAUUUUUUUAGACAAUGAAAUAAUGCAAUUGUUUUUAACCAUUAAGUACUGAAUUAUCAUUGCUGGUUGCACCGAAUGACUAUUAUUUUACAGUGUCAUUUUUUUAGGCAGAUCUCUUUCCCUCUUACAGAAACACACACAUACAUAAACAGUAUGGUUUCUUAUUCAACAACAAUGAUGCCUUUAAUGCUUAAUAAAUUACAAAAAAUGUGACUCAAAUGUUUAUCACGCAGAAACAUUUCAUCAUGAACAUGGCAAUGAACUUCUAAAAAUGAUUACAAUUCUGCAUUAUGAUACAUUUUUCAAACAAUGUUAAAACAGUUAAGAAUCAAUGUAAUACAUACAUAGUAAAGUUCUUGAAGUACAGUAAUGACAUUCAAAC
rnacentral:lncRNA from 1 species